GACAGAGGGUGCAAACGUUGUUCGGAAUUACUGGGCGUAAAGCGCGUGUAGGCGGCCCAGCAAGUCGGAUGUGAAAGCCCUGGGCUUAACCUAGGAAGUGCAUUCGAAACUGCUGGGCUUGAGUUCUGGAGAGGAAGGCGGAAUUCUCGGUGUAGAGGUGAAAUUCGUAGAUAUCGAGAGGAACACCGGUGGCGAAGGCGGCCUUC
rnacentral:rRNA from 1 species